GCGAGUCAGCACCUACCACCCUUCAGUCUCCAGCGGCCGGUGCCAGUGCCCUGUGGGUCUCCUGGGCUAGGGGCUGGAGGGACUAGCCGGGGCCUUGGCCUCGAAGCCAUUUAGGGUUGUCUGCUUCCCAUUUCCAGUAUUCAGCAGACACUCAGAGGCACUGAGCAGCCGGGCCGUCCACGGCCAGGGACCGGGCAGAGCGGGCCGGCAGGUGCAGGCUUGUGUGUGCCACAGAGUCCGCCGCCUCUGCCGGGUCUACCCAGGGGAAAGGAACACGUGUGUGACGUCAGCUCUUACAUCACACAGGUUUCAGCGGAAGAAGAAAGGAGGAAGAAGGAAAAAGAAAAGGAAAAGAAGGAAGAGAAAGGAGAAGGAAGAAGAAGGAGAAGUGGCCCAGCCCUGUUCCCAUGACCGGGUCUGAAUUUGGAAAGCCUAUCUUGUUGACAUCAUCAGAUGAACCUCUGAGAACAUUCCUAUAUGGAUAGGAUUGCUGUCAGCCUACAGCUGAAAGGUUCUGGAGUUGGAAUUUAGAGCUUUUCAGCAUCUUCUUUGGAACAGAGGAAGGCACACCUGGGGAGCAGAACCUUGUGUCCUGCGGACCUAAGGCUAUGGCUGUACUGUAUUGUUGGACUACACUUUAUCAUGUUAGCCUUUCGCUGGGCUCUGAGAUGCAACCCAUGGAACAGUGGAGAUGUAAUGAGCAGUUGUUUGAUCACCAAGGAGAUUCGUCACCAAAGCAGGACCUUUCCUCAUUCUGGCUUUUGGCAUUAACUCUGGUUAUUUGAGUUAGUACUCAUUUCUGUCACCGAAUCCCCAGUUCAUGUAUGCAGGCUCUUCAGGGAGCACAGGCACAUCGUCUCCAUGGCAAAUUACCAGAUCUCAACAUUCCAACAUCAGUGGUGAGGAAUGGAGGUGGCUAUUUGAUAAACAUUAACCUAAAUCUCAUUCAGCCUAAGCCAGACGAUUCUUUGUGGGUCCUUUCAAUCACAGAGAAAAUACAAACGUGGAUCAAAGCAGGAGUAUUUCCUCCAAUAAAUGAUGUGUCCCUGUCCUCUUGCUAACCA
rnacentral:lncRNA from 1 species